UCGGGAAUAUUGCACAAUGGGGGAAACCCUGAUGCAGCGACGCCGCGUAAAGGAAGAAGGUCUGCGGAUUGUAAACUUUUGUCGACAGGGAAGAAAAAAAUGACAGUACCUGUGGAGGAAGCCCCGGCUAACUACGUGCCAGCAGCCGCGGUAAUACGUAGGGGGCAAGCGUUAUCCGGAAUUACUGGGUGUAAAGGGCGCGUAGGCGGAACUUUAAGUCUGAUGUGAAAUACCAAGGCUCAACUUUGGAACUGCAUCGGAAACUGGAGAUCUAGAGUGUGGGAGAGGAAAGCGGAAUUCUCAGUGUAGCGGUGAAAUGCGUAGAUAUUGAGAGGAACACCGGUGGCGAAGGCGGCUUUCUGGACCAUAACUGACGCUGAGGCGCGAAAGCGUGGGUAGCAAACAGG
rnacentral:rRNA from 2 species